AACGAACGCUGGCGGCAUGCCUAACACAUGCAAGUCGAACGAAGCCUUCUGGCUUAGUGGCGCACGGGUGCGUAACGCGUGGGAAUCUGCCCUUGGGUUCGGAAUAACAUUUAGAAAUGACUGCUAAUACCGGAUGAUGUCUUCUGACCAAAGAUUUAUCGCCCAAGGAUGAGCCCGCGUCGGAUUAGCUAGUUGGUGAGGUAAAGGCUCACCAAGGCGACGAUCCGUAGCUGGUCUGAGAGGAUGAUCAGCCACACUGGGACUGAGACACGGCCCAGACUCCUACGGGAGGCAGCAGUGGGGAAUAUUGGACAAUGGGCGAAAGCCUGAUCCAGCAAUGCCGCGUGAGUGAUGAAGGCCUUAGGGUUGUAAAGCUCUUUUACACGGGAUGAUAAUGACAGUACCGGGAGAAUAAGCCCCGGCUAACUCCGUG
rnacentral:rRNA from 1 species